rnacentral:rRNA from 1 species
UACGUAGGGGGCAAGCGUUGUCCGGAUUUAUUGGGCGUAAAGAGCGUGUAGGCGGCCAAGCAGGUCAGCUGUGAAAACUCGAGGCUCAACCUCGAGACGUCGGUUGAAACCGCUUGGCUAGAGUCCGGAAGAGGAGAGUGGAAUUCCCGGUGUAGCGGUGAAAUGCGCAGAUAUCGGGAAGGAACACCCGUGGCGAAGGCGGCUCUCUGGGACGGUACUGACGCUGAGACGCGAAAGCGUGGGGAGCGAACAGG